rnacentral:rRNA from 1 species
UACGUAGGUGGCAAGCGUUGUCCGGAAUUAUUGGGCGUAAAGCGCGCGCAGGCGGUCCUUUAAGUCUGAUGUGAAAGCCCACGGCUCAACCGUGGAGGGUCAUUGGAAACUGGGGGACUUGAGUGCAGAAGAGGAGAAUGGAAUUCCUGGUGUAGCGGUGAAAUGCGCAGAUAUCAGGAAGAACACCCGUGGCGAAGGCGGUUCUCUGGGACGGUACUGACGCUGAGACGCGAAAGCGUGGGGAGCGAACAGG